rnacentral:rRNA from 1 species
GACGAACGCUGGCGGCGUGCUUAACACAUGCAAGUCGAACGGAAAGGCCCUGCGUUUGUGGGGUGCUCGAGUGGCGAACGGGUGAGUAACACGUGAGUAACCUGCCCUUGACUUUGGGAUAACUUCAGGAAACUGGGGCUAAUACCGGAUAGGAGCCCCUGCUGCAUGGUGGGGGUUGGAAAGUUUCGGCGGUUGGGGAUGGACUCGCGGCUUAUCAGCUUGUUGGUGGGGUAGUGGCUUACCAAGGCUUUGACGGGUAGCCGGCCUGAGAGGGUGACCGGCCACAUUGGGACUGAGAUACGGCCCAGACUCCUACGGGAGACAGCAGUGGGGAAUAUUGCACAAUGGGCGGAAGCCUGAUGCAGCAACGCCGCGUGCGGGAUGACGGCCUUCGGGUUGUAAACCGCUUUCGCCUGUGACGAAGCGUGAGUGACGGUAAUGGGUAAAGAAGCACCGGCUAACUACGUG